rnacentral:rRNA from 1 species
AACGCUGGCUGUGUGCCUAAUACAUGCAUGUCGAGCGGAGUUCUUCGGAACUUAGCGGCGAAUGGGUGAGUAACACGUACUUAACGUGCCCUCUAGAUUGGGAUAACGAUGAGAAAUUAUCGCUAAUACCGGAUACUUAUUAGUUUGGCAUCAAACUAAUAUAAAAGGAGCCUUAAAGCUUCACUAGAGGAUCGGGGUGCGGAACAUUAGUUUGUUGGUGAGGUAAUGGCUCACCAAGACGAUGAUGUUUAGCGGGGUUGAGAGACUGAUCCGCCACACUGGGACUGAGAUACGGCCCAGACUCCUACGGGAGGCAGCAGUAGGGAAUUUUCCACAAUGGACGAAAGUCUGAUGGAGCGACACAGCGUGCAGGAAGACGGCCUUCSGGUUGUAAACUGCUGUUAUAAGGGAAGAAAAAGCAGUAGAGGAAAUGCUAUUGCCUUGACGGUACCUUGUCAGAAAGCAACGGCUAACUAUGUGCCAGCAGCCGCGGUAAUACAUAGGUUGCAAGCGUUAUCCGGAAUUAUUGGGCGUAAAGCGUCUGUAGGUUGUGUGUUAAGUCUGGCGUUAAAACUUGGGGCUCAACCCCAAAUUGCGUUGGAUACUGGCACGCUAGAAUUGUGUAGAGGUUAGCGGAAUUCCUAGUGAAGCGGUGAAAUGCGUAGAUAUUAGGAAGAACAUCAACAUGGCGAAGGCRGCUAACUGGGCACAUAUUGACACUGAGAGACGAAAGCGUGGGGAGCAAACAGGAUUAGAUACCCUGGUAGUCCACGCUGUAAACGAUGAUGAUUAGCUGAUAGAGGACUAUCGGCGCAGCUAACGCAUUAAAUCAUCCGCCUGAGUAGUAUGCUCGCAAGAGUGAAACUUAAAGGAAUUGACGGGGACCCGCACAAGCGGUGGAGCAUGUGGUUUAAUUUGAAGAUACGCGUAGAACCUUACCCACUCUUGACAUCUUCCGCAAAGCUAUAGAGAUAUAGUGGAGGCUAACGGAAUGACAGAUGGUGCAUGGUUGUCGUCAGCUCGUGUCGUGAGAUGUUCGGUUAAGUCCUGCAACGAGCGCAACCCUCAUCCUUAGUUAAAUAUCCUAGGGAGACUGCCCGAGUAAUUGGGAGGAAGGUGGGGACGACGUCAAAUCAUCAUGCCUCUUACGAGUGGGGCAACACACGUGCUACAAUGGAUAGUACAAAGAGAAGCAAUACGGUGACGUGGAGCAAAUCUCAAAAAACUAUUCUCAGUUCGGAUUGUAGUCUGCAACUCGACUACAUGAAGUCGGAAUCGCUAGUAAUCGUAGAUCAGCUACGCUACGGUGAAUACGUUCUCGGGUCUUGUACACACCGCCCGUCACACCAUGGGAGCUGGUAAUGCCCGAAGUCGGUUUUGUUAACUACGGAGACAACUGCCUAAGGCAGGGCCGGUGACUGGGGUGAAGUCGUAACAAGGUAUCCCUACGAGAACGUGGGGAUGGAUUACCUCCUUUCU